ACCCCUCCCAGCAUGACAGAACUCUAGAAAUUUGCUCUUGGGCUAAAAUAAACAAUAUCCUUGUCCAACCAGUGGUGCCAGGAUACGAGCCAAAAUCCUUGUUAGUUAUGUCUCAGUUCCAGCUCGUACCGAACCUCUGUGUGUUCAUCGCAACAGCUAUUUCCAUUAGGCACACUGAGGUUCACGUACCUUUUAUAGAAAGAGGAAAACAGAUACACUACAUGAUCUGCACUGCCUUGGUGUGGAAGCCACUUCAUUUUGUUGGGGAAUUUCUCAUUAGGAUGAACAGACUUGAUUCUUCCUACUUUCACCUACUGAAAUAAACGAUGCCAGCAGUACCUGCCCCAACGCAUAGCCCUUUGAUUCUGACUGCUGUCUCUCUACAAAUCCCAGGGCAAAAUGCAUUUUAACUGACAUGGAGCAAUUGGCAGCAGGUAAAUAAAGCCAGUAAAAUAUCAGGAAACAAGCCUCAGGACUACUGAUACUGCCUCCUCUUUAGCCAUUUCCGUUCACCUGACAGAGCUCUUGCUAUUCUACUGUCUUACAGAGCACACCCUAUUUUCCUUUACCAUGUUCUCAUACAAAGCUGUGCUGUAUUUUCCCUCCUUAGUAUUAAAAUUCUAUUUAUCUUUUUGUUCUUAAACUGACAUGUGGCAGAACGACUUUCCAUAAUUUCAGCUAGAAAAGAAGACCAACUUACUGUACUUUAAAAGUAAUAGAGCAUGAAGGUAUUUCUGUUUAUUUACUGCCUAAGUUUCAAACGAUAGGUUGAAAGAGGUGAGGACACAGUGACAGUCUGACUAGUGAAAAGCACUACGUCUCACAGUGCAGGGCCUGAAGUCUCUUACCAUUUCCAUUAUGAGAUGUCCACAAACAAAGCACUUGUCCGCUGUUUGCUGAAAACCUGAAUACUAUUCAAAUGACAGAAAAGAGAGGAUUAUUAGUAGCCACUCCUCUAGCUGCAGAAAUACCUUUUAAGUGAGCGCUAUGCUAUUUUCCAGCCUGUGCUAUAUAUAUGGCAACAAACUCACACAAUAGGUUUGGGACAUAGUAGAAGCCUUUGUUUUGCUCUUGCAGCAUGCUCAGAUACCAGCUUGGCUUUCCAGUGCAAGGUUUCCAUUGAGAUUUUCAAUAUUAUUUCAAAGCUUGAUUUUUAUUUUGGAAGUCUAAUUGUCGAGUUUGGUGUGUUAGAACUCACUUGACUUAACUCUUUUGGUUGCUAUUGUUGGGUAAGUAAAUAACACAGGACUUCCCUCUCAACUCCUGUUCAAAUUAGUGAACAGAUGCUUACUGAUUUCAGAUACUGACCUACAUUUCACUCUUACAUGCAGGCUAGAAAAAUGAAUACAGGCCCAAGGAGAAUUUAGCUAUCUCAUGGAUACCAGGCAUUUUAUCCAGGGAAGAAUCUAAAAGUCCAGUCAUAGGAGCUCGGGCUCCCUGUACGAUGUGAACAGUGAGGUACCUCAGAAAGAUGAUACAAACCCCAUCCACCAGCCUAUGCUCCAGCUUUCAGUGGGAAAUGGGAAGGCUGGGCAUGCCUGGCAGCAGAGCCCUCUUGGGUUCAAAUGCCAGGGGCACAGCAGCAGCGAGUCACUUGGCCCACCUGGGACCAAAGCGCUAUGUUCCCUGCCUCAGUCGUUUUGACCUUAACUUUGUACUUGCGUCCCCAAAGCAGAUCCUGUUUCGGAUGCCAGAGUCUGUCUUUAGCCUUGUGUACAAAAAAUACCAAGGUUAUCAGGCCAGACAACUGAUGUACCAAACUGGCCUACAGGCAAGAGGAACUCCAGCCACGUCAUUCUCAAACUGGUAUUUGCAGUGGCUGAACUUUGCCCUCAGCCACUGCAGUCCCAUAUAAGCAAAGUGGUGCGUGCUCACUCUUUCUUGCCAGAGGGAAGGGGUGCCCAGUUAUUUGUAUGGUACUGCAGAGUGAUGCUUAUUUCAAAAAUUCAGGUUGUAGCAAAGCUCACCUGAAAUGUACUUCAGUUGCACAAGAUACAAGAGAGGGAAUGGGGAGAAUGACUGUAAACUGGACUCUUCUCCCAGAGCACAGGUUAACUGGCUCAUGCAUCUAAUGCAUCUUCAGGGCCUCAGCCCAACAGAGCUUAGGGCUUGCUCCAUCGCCCCUUGAUUUAGUGCAGAUUAACUGCCCUCUCACUUCACAAGCGAGUGGUUCCCGCCUAGAGCUGCCAUAUGUUUUCCUUUUUAUUGGUGCUAGAGGAUCACAUACUAUUUCCAAUCAAUACACUGGAGACAAAACUAUUGUUGCUAUGCAACAGAGUAAUUAUAAAGGAAAAGGUCUCGUAGACUCUCUGAUGGGCCCAGAAAGUCAGUACAUGACAGUAUGGCAGCUGCCACAGCUCCAGAUUUACUACACGCUAAGUAACACAGUUUAUGUAAUCCUAAGGAACUGAAACUUCAUCAAAAGAGACUUGGGUGCUGAGGAACAAAUACAGAGUAAGACAGUCCUAGCUGGCUAUUACUACAAGAUACCAGUUUGCCUUUUUCUUACAGAUGCAGAACAAAAGGCUUCACUGCUUGGGAUGCUUCUUGGCUGCACUGUGUGAGUAACCAUCUGGCUAGACUAUUUCCUAAGGUUGCAGACUCGAGGGUUACUGGAAACAGUCUUGAUCCCAGACAAACAGUGAGAUCAGAGUUUUGGAUUCGUCUCUGCUUGUAUUUUAAAUCUACUUGGACUGGAACAGAGAAACAGCCUCAGAUCCCUGCAGCAGUUUCCUACAUGAUGGUAGUACCGUGAAGACUGGUGUUUAAAUAAAUCCUGCGUGUGCAAUGAGAAGCUGUGACUUGCUCCACACUGCAGACAAGGCAGAAUGGCCUCUUUAUUAUCUCUCAGCACACCCAAGAG